rfam:Ornithorhynchus anatinus chromosome 4, whole genome shotgun sequence.
AGCAGCGUGGCUCAGUGGAAAGAGUGCGGGCUUGGGAGCCAGAGGUCAUGGGUUCUAAUCCCAGCUCUGCCG